UGGAUGUGAUGUGAAAUCACAGCCUGACCUGCUGGUGGAGGCCAAGACUGAUUUAAUGAGGCUGAUCC
ensembl:snoRNA SNORD57 small nucleolar RNA, C/D box 57